UGUCUCCCUUAUUUUUAAAAAUAGUUACUAAAAUCUACCAAAAGGAACAAACCAAAAAAAAGCUAUUAACAUGUUUUCAUAUGCAUGAAAGGUUUUCUACAUUAUAUUAAAAUUAAAACUUCAAAAAUGAUAGAAUUAGCCUUCUAUCCAACUCUCACCUGGAAGUCUAUUUUUUAAGUCAAAAUGCAACGUUAUAUUGUUAAAAGGGAACACAGGAAAAGAUACAAGCGCUGUUGCGAAUUCAGGCAAGGAGCUCAAGAAUAGCAACAACAGCCCAGGAGUGGUGGAUUUAGGCCCAAGUCUAUUACAAGUAUACUACAGAAAGAAGAAGCAAGAAACAGAGGAAUUUGGGAGUAUUCUAGAGACAUAUAGCCGGAAGGGUUGGGUUUGUUAGAGGGAAUUAAGGAGGAAAUGCCAUGAGGGGAUGCUAACAGAAAAGGGAAUCCAACUUCAUUAUAUAUCGGGGCCUAUCUCAGCAGUAAGGGGAAGAUAGUAUUUUGUUGAAAAUCACAGCUAUAAGCUGGGGCUAACUUUGCUAGCAUGGGAAUUGAUUUCUCGGGGGUUGUUUAACAACCAUUUUCUUUUGUUUAUUUGUUCCUGUUGAAUUUCAGCAAUUUCAGUACUUGUUAUUGCCAUUUCAAGGGUAGAGAGGAAGAGAGAUACAAUUUAUAGCUAUGAGAUACUGAUUGUAAAAGUGCUUCUGCCAUUGCAAUUGAAAUUUCAGUUCUUUUACAUUCAACAUUUUCACAAUUAAAUAGUUCCUAACUCUAUCAAGAACCUUUAUCAUCAACAGUGAAAGAUAAGCACAGAACUUAAAUAUUCAACAUUCAGUUAAAUGUCAGCAGAGAGAUCAAACAUAAAAACAAGCUAAAUUCAUGUUUUUCAGUUAACAUUGUUUAUAAGAACACUACAUGAAGGGCAAGAUAAUUCUGGCAAUUUACUGAUCUAAAAUCAAAUUGCUACCAAAAUCAACCUCAUAUAUGUAGUCACAGAAGACCAUGAAGUCUUGAACACUAAACAGCAAUUGUUGUCAUAUAAAGCACGGACUGACAGCAUAAAUACACCUCUUGUACUGUUAACAUCUAUUGGAAAAUAACUUCAGAAUACCUGCAAAAGAUGUCUCGUAUUUUAUACCUAUCCUUGCCCCUUCUAAG
rnacentral:misc_RNA from 1 species